CAGAUAUUGUCUCACUUUGACCGAUUAUUUCACCAAGUGGGUUGAAGCAAGAACAUUCCCAAAAAAGACAGCAGCCAAUGUGAAGGAGGUAUUCUUUAUAUUUUGGUGUUUCACUUACCCAUGGCCAUAAUCAGAAAGGGAAAAAGCCACUAAAGCCUUGAGGGACAUUUUCUUUACUCAUGGUUUGCCUGAAGUUAUCCUCACUGACCAGGGCACUGAAUUCAAGAAAGAGAGUUACGGAGGUUCUUCCAAACAAUAUGGUUAGGCUGGAGACCCUGGAUGGAAAGCCCAAGCAUAUGAUGACCCCGUAUGCAUCACUGAAACCUCUGCGCCCGAGGACUCACCCUGGCUGGCCAAAGGAUUCCCCUUCAGCCCCUGUGCUUCCAAGAGAUGCUGAAAUGCUGACUUCAUCAUCG